rnacentral:rRNA from 1 species
UGCCUGUACCAUAACCGACACAGGUGGGUAGGUAGAGUAUACUAAGGGGCGCGAGAUAACUCUCUCUAAGGAACUCGGCAAAAUGACUCCGUAACUUCGGGAGAAGGAGUGCCUUAUUAUAAGGUUGCAAUAACAAGAUCCAGCAACUGUUUAUCAAAAACACAGGUCUCCGCUAAGUCGUAAGACGAUGUAUGGGGGCUGACGCCUGCCCAGUGCCAGAAGGUUAAAGAAGUUGGUUAGUGUAUGCGAAGCUGAUGACUGAAGCCCUGGUGAACGGCGGCCGUAACUAUAACGGUCCUAAGGUAGCGAAAUUCCUUGUCGGGUAAGUUCCGACCCGCACGAAAGGCGUAAUGAUUUGGAUACUGUCUCGGAGAGAGGCUCGGUGAAAUAGACUUGUCUGUGAAGAUGCGGACUACCUGCACCAGGACAGAAAGACCCUAUGAAGCUUUACUGUAACUUGAAAUUGGAAUUGGACUUUGCUUGCGCAGUAUAGGUGGGAAGCGUUGAAGAUAUUCUUGCGGGAGUAUUGGAGCUAUCAGUGAGAUACCACUCUUGUAAUGUUAGAUUUCUAACUUUGAACCAUAAUCUGGUCAAAGAACAGUUUCAGGUGGGCAGUUUGACUGGGGCGGUCGCCUCCCAAAUGGUAACGGAGGCGUACAAAGGUUUCCUCUGAACGGAUAGAAAUCGUAUCUAGAGUGUAAAGGCAUAAGGAAGCUUGACUGUGAGACCUACAAGUCGAGCAGGGACGAAAGUCGGUCUUAGUGAUCUGACGGUACUGAGUGGAAAGGCCGUCACUCAACGGAUAAAAGUUACUCUAGGAUAACAGGCUGAUCUCCCCCAAGAGUUCACAUCGACGGGGAGGUUUGGCACCUCGAUGUCGGCUCAUCGCAUCCUGGGGCGGUAGUACGUCCCAAGGGUUGGGCUGUUCGCCCAUGAAAGCGGUACGCGAGCUGGGUUCAGAACGUCGUGAGACAGUUCGGUCCAUAUCCAGUGUAGGCGUUAGAAUAUUGAGAGGAGCCUUCUUUAGUACGAGAGGACCGAGAAGGACACACCGCUGGUGUACCAGUUAUCGUGCCAACGGUAAACGCUGGGUAGCUAUGUGUGGAGUGGAUAACCGCUGAAAGCAUCUAAGUGGGAAGCCCACCUCAAGAUGAGUAUUCUCAUCACUAUAAGUGAGUAAGGUCACGGUAAGACUAACCGUUUGAUAGGCAUUAAGUGUAAAUGUAGUAAUGCAUGUGCUGAGAUGUCCUAACAGACC